GGACGAAAAGACCCCGUGAACCUUUACUAUAGCUUAGUAUUGGCUUUGGAUAAGUAAUGUGUAGGAUAGGUGGGAGACUUUGAAGUGGCGUCGCUAGGCGUUGUGGAGUCAUUGUUGAAAUACCACCCUUUGCUUAUCUAGAGUCUAACUUUCACUGAAAGGACAGUGCUUGGUGGGUAGUUUGACUGGGGUGGUCGCCUCCAAAAGAGUAACGGAGGCUUCUAAAGGUUCCCUCAGCACGCUUGGUAACCGUGCGUAGAGUGCAAUGGCAUAAGGGAGCUUGACUGAGAGACAUACAGGUCGAUCAGGUACGAAAGUAGAGCAUAGUGAUCCGGUGGUUCCGUAUGGAAGGGCCAUCGCUCAAAGGAUAAAAGGUACUCCGGGGAUAACAGGCUGAUCUCCCCCAAGAGUUCACAUCGACGGGGAGGUUUGGCACCUCGAUGUCGGCUCGUCGCAUCCUGGGGCGGUAGUACGUCCCAAGGGUUGGGCUGUUCGCCCAUAAAAGCGGCACGCGAGCUGGGUUCAGAACGUCGUGAGACAGUUCGGUCCAUAUCCGGUGUAGGCGUUAGAAUAUUGAGAGGAUCUUUCUUUAGUACGAGAGGACCGAGAAGGACGUACCGCUAGUGUACCAGUUAUCAUGCCAAUGGUAAACGCUGGGUAGCUAUGUACGGAAAGGAUAACCACUGAAAGCAUCUAAGUGGGAAGCCCACCUCAAGAUGAGUAUUCUCAUUGUGAAAACAAGUAAGGUCACGGGAAGACUACCCGUUGAUAGGCAUCAAGUGUAAGUGCAGCAAUGUAUUCAGCUGAGAUGUACUAACAGACCGAGGACUUG
rnacentral:rRNA from 1 species